rnacentral:rRNA from 1 species
GGGUCAGUAGGUUGGUCGUGCCACCGGUACGUACUGGUCUCACUGAUUCCUCCUUCCUGAAGAACCGUAAUGCCAUUAAUUUGGUGUUGCGGGGAGACAGGACUGUUACUUUGAAAAAAUUAGAGUGUUUAAAGCAAGCUAACGCUUGAAUACAUUAGCAUGGAAUAAUGAAAUAGGACGAUCGAUCCUAUUUUGUUGGUUUCUAGGAUUGACGUG